rnacentral:rRNA from 1 species
UAACGAAUAUUGGGCAAUGGGCGCAAGCCUGACCCAGCAAUGCCGCGUGCAGGAGGAAGCCCUUCGGGGUGUAAACUGCUGUCAGGGGCUAGCAAGCAAAGGGGUCGAAUAGACCCCGGCGUUGAGCCGCCCCAGAGGAAGCCUCGACUAACUCUGUGCCAGCAGUCGCGGUAAGACAGAGGAGGCAAGCGUUGUUCGGAAUCACUGGGCUUAAAGCGCGUGUAGGCGGCUCGGUAAGUGUCGUGUGAAAGCCCCCGGCUCAACCGGGGAACUGCACGGCAAACUGCCAGGCUUGAGGUCGGUAGAGGUGCCUGGAACUCUAGGUGGAGCGGUGAAAUGCGUAGAUAGCUAGAGGAACGCCAGAGGCGAAAGCGGGGGACUGGGGCGAUUCUGACGCUGAGACGCGAAAGGGUGGGGAGCAAACA